CCUACGGGAGGCAGCAGUGAGGAAUAUUGGUCAAUGGGCGCGAGACUGAACCAGCCAAGCCGCGUGAGGGAUGAAUGUACAAAGGAUCGUAAACCUCUUUUAUAAGGGAACAAAGUCUGGGACGCGUCCCCGGUUGAGUGUACUUUAAGAACAAGGAUCGGCUAACUCCGUGCCAGCAGCCGCGGUAAUACGGAGGAUCCGAGCGUUAUCCGGCUUUAUUGGGGUUAAAGGGUGCGUAGGCGGGCUGGUAAGUCAGCUGUUAAAGGCUGGGGCUGAACCUGACCAAUGCCGGUGAUACUGGCAGUCUCGAGUAGAGGAGAGGUAUGCGGAAUUCGAGGUGUAGCGGUGAAAUGCAUAGAGAUCGCGAAGAACGCCGAUUGCGAAGGCAGCAUACGGGACGAACACUGACGUUGAUGCGCGAAAGCGUGGGUAUCGAACAGGAUUAGAUACCCGGGUAGUC
rnacentral:rRNA from 1 species